rnacentral:tRNA from 1 species
GGUUGUAGCUCAGUGGUAGAGUGCUUGCCUAGCACAUGUGAGGCACUGGGUUCAAUCCUCAGCACCA